rnacentral:rRNA from 1 species
AUUGAACGCUGGCGGGAAUGCUUUACACAUGCAAGUCGAGCGGCAGCAUGGACUUCGGUCUGAUGGCGAGCGGCGAACGGGUGAGUAACAUAUAGGAACAUACCCAGUAAUGGGGGGAUAACUCCGAGAAAUCGGAGCUAAUACCGCAUACGCCCUGAGGGGGAAAGCGGGGGAUCUUCGGACCUCGCGUUAUUGGGAAUGGCCUAUAUCUGAUUAGCUAGUUGGUGAGGUAAAAGGCUCACCAAGGCGACGAUCAGUAGCUGGUCUGAGAGGAUGAUCAGCCACACUGGAACUGAGACACGGUCCAGACUCCUACGGGUGGCUG